AUUGAACGCUGGCGGCAGGCUUAACACAUGCAAGUCGAACGGUAACAUAAAGAAGCUUGCUUCUUUGAUGACGAGUGGCGGACGGGUGAGUAAUGCUUGGGAAUCUAGCUUAUGGAGGGGGAUAACUACGGGAAACUGUAGCUAAUACCGCGUAAUAUCGAAAGAUUAAAGUGUGGGACCUUCGGGCCACAUGCCAUAGGAUGAGCCCAAGUGGGAUUAGGUAGUUGGUGAGGUAAAGGCUCACCAAGCCGACGAUCUCUAGCUGGUCGGAGAGGAUGACCAGCCACACUGGGACUGAGACACGGCCCAGACUCCUACGGGAGGCAGCAGUGGGGAAUAUUGCGCAAUGGGGGCAACCCUGACGCAGCCAUGCCGCGUGAAUGAAGAAGGCCUUCGGGUUGUAAAGUUCUUUCGGUAGCGAGGAAGGCACUUAGUUUAAUAGACUAGGUGAUUGACGUUAACUACAGAAGAAGCACCGGCUAACUCCGUGCCAGCAGCCGCCGUAA
rnacentral:rRNA from 1 species